rnacentral:lncRNA from 1 species
UUAAAGUCAGUUCAUAUGAGUAUUGCUCUCAGCCUCUCAAACUUAAAAGUUCUAUGCAUGAAGUAUGGACAUCCAUUGGUCAAGUUUAGGUUAAUAAAAAAAUAGCAUAGGGAUGCUCAUGUUGAGCUCAGUGCAGUCAGAUCAGACAAGUUUAUGACAAUCAUAGUUAAAAGAAAUUAUUUCCAUGGGUUGAUGUCGAAGGCAGGACGAUCUGCUGUUUAUCAUCUGAAAUCCAGGUAUGACAUUGGUGUAUCGUUAUCCUUCAGAUUUACUAUAUGCUCUUAUAGUUUAGUUUUAGUGUUUAUUAAAUGUAACUACAAAUGAUACACUUUGCUAGUUUUUUAUUUUUAAUUAUGUUGUCAUCUGGACCAGCACGAUAUGUAUUUGCUUUAAAAUCUUGGAUGACUUGAUGCCAUCAAAACAUUAAAUUCAGAAAAGAAAAGAAUAGGAAUAACCCACCAUAACUAGCAUUUGCCGAUUCUGGAAUGUCUGUCACCAACCUGUCACAUGCAAAUAACCAUAAGAAUAGCUUUUGAUUUUGUAUUUGUCACGUCACACACAAGUGGAGAAGUAGAAUUGUAUAAACCAAUUAAUUCUGAAAUGUUUCAGAUUUUACCAAUGAAGGUAUUCUCUUUUUGUUGGGUUGCUUGGACUUGGCGAGUCAGGAUCCACCAUCACCUAAAAGCAAGUUAGCGUGUUACUUCUAGGGAAAAAUAUAACUUUUUAGUUAAAUAAAACAUUAUCAUUCCAAGCAAAGGAUAAAAACUUUGAAUUUGAGGGUAUAAGGUCCAUGAACUGUGCAUCUCAGUUACUUGUGUUCCACUAAGAUUAUAUGGCCAUUGCUUUCUUAAUUGACACAACCCAGAUACAAGGCUCUCCAUAACUUUGAUGCUUUAGAAAAUUAACUUUCUAUAACACUAUUAUUUUGUUAGCUUCAAUGGUUGUGUCACUACUAAUGCAUCUUCAUGAUUCUAGCAAAGUACAGUUAAUUUUUUAAUGCAUCUAAUCAUAAUGAUUCAGAUUCCUAUACUUCAUGGCUGACGUGCAUAAUUUUGAUCCACAGGCAGCAUUCAAAUAUGCAGGUAUAUGUGCUGACCUAUCAAAAGCAAACAGAAUAUCUUUGUUUACACGAAAUAAAGAAAUAGAGGUGCAAAGGUCUUUUUCAAUCCACCCAGUCACACAGAUGAAGUUGUACAACUUACAGAAAGCUGAGAAUAUUUGCUUCCAGUGUUCUAUACGUACUGAACACUAAUAGCACAUGCUACAGGUAUAGCACUCUACACAGUUGGAUGGGGCUCGUGUAAUUAGGCACAUGCUUUUUUCCCCCUGGGCUAGAUGCCAAAUAGUAUUCCUUAUGAACUCAAUAUUGUUCAAUGCAGUAAUGAGGAUUUGGACUUACCAGAGUGUAAAGGUUCCUUAUGUCGCGGCCAGCAAUUUCAAUCCUUGGUUCAUUUGCUACCUGUGACGGUUUGAGCU